CAGUAGCCGCGGUAACACGGAGGGUGCAAGCGUUACUCGGAAUCACUGGGCGUAAAGGACGCGUAGGCGGAUUAUCAAGUCUCUUGUGAAAUCUAACGGCUUAACCGUUAAACUGCUUGGGAAACUGGUAACCUAGAGUAAGGGAGAGGCAGAUGGAAUUCUUGGUGUAGGGGUAAAAUCCGUUGAUAUCAAGAAGAAUACCUAUUGCGAAGGCGAUCUGCUGGAACUUAACUGACGCUAAUGCGUGAAAGCGUGGGGAGCGAACAGGAUUAGAUACCCCAGUAGUCCCUGUCUCUUAUAC
rnacentral:rRNA from 1 species